ensembl:snRNA U6 U6 spliceosomal RNA
GUGCUAACUUCAGCAGCACACAUAUUAAAAUUGGAAAGACACAGAGAAGAUUAGCAUGACACCUGCACUGGGAUGAUAUGCAAAUUUGUGGUGUUCCAUAUUAAA